rnacentral:rRNA from 1 species
GACGAACGCUGGCGGCGUGCCUAAUACAUGCAAGUAGAACGCAGUUGCGAACGGGUGAGUAACGCGUAGGUAACUGCCUGGUAGCGGGGGAUAACUAUUGGAAACGAUAGCUAAUACCGCAUACUACCAGAUGGACCUGCGUUGUAUUAGCUAGUUGGUGCGGUAACGGCGCACCACGGCAACGAUACAUAGCCGAGCUGAGAGGGAGAUCGGCGACACUGGGACUGAGAAACGGCCCAGACUCCUACGGGAUGCAGCAGUAGGGAAGCGUCGGCAAUGGGGGGAACCCUGACCGCGCAAAGCCGCGGGAGUGAAGAAGGGUGUCGGAUCGUAAAGCUCUGUUGUUAAGGAAGCGGUACUUAACCAGAAAGGGACGGCUAACUACGUGCCAGCAGCCGCGGUAAUUC